GCCGAAGUGGCGGAACGGCAGACGCGCUACGUUCAGGGCGUAGUACCUGUAAUGGGUGUGAGAGUUCAAAUCUCUCCUUCGGCACCA
rnacentral:tRNA from 6 species